rnacentral:miRNA from 14 species
GUGAGUCUGGAAUGGGAUUUGGAAUUUAGCAUGUCUAACAAGCUCCCUGGUGAUGCUGAUGUUGCAGGGCCAGA